rnacentral:rRNA from 1 species
UACGGAGGAUGCGAGCGUUAUCCGGAAUCAUUGGGUUUAAAGGGUCUGUAGGCGGGCUUGUAAGUCAGAGGUGAAAGCGCUUAGCUCAACUAAGCAACUGCCUUUGAAACUGUUGGUCUUGAAUGGUUGUGAAGUAGUUGGAAUGUGUAGUGUAGCGGUGAAAUGCUUAGAUAUUACACAGAACACCGAUAGCGAAGGCAUAUUACUAACAAUUAAUUGACGCUGAUGGACGAAAGCGUGGGGAGCGAACAGG